UACGUAGGGGGCGAGCGUUGUCCGGAUUUAUUGGGCGUAAAGAGCUCGUAGGCGGUUCAACAAGUCGGUCGUGAAAGUUCAGGGCUCAACCCUGAAAUGUCGAUCGAUACUGUUGUGACUAGGAUACGGUAGAGGUGAGUGGAAUUCCGAGUGUAGCGGUGAAAUGCGUAGAUAUUCGGAGGAACACCAAUUGCGAAGGCAGCUCACUGGACCGCUAUCGACGCUGAGGAGCGAAAGCUAGGGGA
rnacentral:rRNA from 1 species